CAGGUUCUCUCUGUGAACCACAGAACAAGUUACCCUCUACAGCCUUAUUGAAGUCAGCACCUCCACAAGUAACAACCUGAUUGUGAAUGUUCCUUCUAACAGGUUUCUGGCCUUCAUGGAUUUCUCCAUACCAGAGAUACUGAGGGUUCACUGGAGGAUCUGUGACUUCAUAUCGUGCAGUGUGAGUACGGCUCCCCAUAAGAGUUCCUGUGCAGAGCCCUGGAUGCGCCCCAGCCCCAGACAGUGAGUAACGCUGUGUGCCUGUUCCAGGGGAUUGGGGCGUGCAUGCCGGAGGGUCAUGCCCUCAGCCCUCUGGGUUGCCACUCUGCCCAUAAAUGGUGAAUAUAGAGGCAGCCAUCUCGGAGAAGUCUCCCUUUGCCACACCCAUGAACCAGAAGGAUCAGGCCAACCUGGCUAAGGCACGUUAAAACGUUCAUAGAUUACCAGCAGGGUCAAAUAAUAGCCGUGGUGGCUAUAGAGUACAGUUCAACACCUCAGGAGUUAAUGUCAAUUGGCUUUUAUAUAGGCAGGCAUUCAAAGUGUCUCUCCGUGCAGCAGCCGGUAGGGAGGGGGGUCGAACAGCAUGUCUACUCUACUCUAUUCUCUCUCACACAAACUUGUGCAUGUUUUUCUCAUCUUGUGUCUUACAUCAUCAUGUGUCUUGUAACACUGAGCAUGUUUUGUAACUGAUACGGUAUACAGUGUAAGUAGUGAUCUGACCUUUAGAGUGGCUAGUGAGAACAUUUACCAGAGAUGGCGUCUAGUCUUGGUUCGGAUCUUGGUGGCUCCAGUCUUGACUCCAUCUCUGACAUUUACCUGGAUCUGCUCCCCGUCAGUACAUCAAACAGGAGCUGAUAAGGAUGAUGGACCAGGUCGCAUUCUCUUCUUCCUCCAAGUCCGGUCGAGGACCAGCUUCCCGGGACCGGUCUGGCCCGACGGGAGCCCCAGGCUCCCCUCACCCCUUUGGGUAAGGCUCAGAUCUGUGUACUGAAUGCAGUGGUGACGGGUGGUGACGGGAGGGCUGUGUGACAGUGUGGGGCGGAUCCUCUACACGCCCUCUGUGGAUACGCUGGACCCGGGUGGCCUAUUCUGUGGAAACCUCCGAGGGGAAGGCCCACGUCCACCCCUCCUCCUUCAACCGCUGCCUGCUCUUCCAGGAGAAGGCCGCAGUGAGGAUUGGAGUGAUCUUUAAACACCUGAGGAAGCUCUUAGACUCACGACUGGAGAAGAUGCCAGAGAACCCAAGGGACGAAUCUAGAAAGUCAUAUUCUACCCUUUCUCUGUCUUUCCCCUUCCUUUAAAAAAAUAAUAAUCUUGUAUCCUUUUCUCAUUUUCUAAUUUCAAAUGCUGUAUUUUGUGUGUGUGUGUGUGUGUGUGUGUGUGUUCAUGAAAUUAAAAAAUGUUCCUCUGUGUUUAGCACGGUUUAGCACUGUGUAGUGGCUCAUGGUAUUAUUUACUCUCUUUUGUCUCUCAACUGUAGAUGAGAAGACCAUCCAGUUGAUUAAAGAGCUGAUCAAGAUGUUGAACGUCUCCUGACCCCUGUGACUUGUCAUUGGAGACCUCAGCUAUGGAGAUGUCCCUGAGACAGGAUGGAUUGGACUCUUAGAAAGCCCUUUGUCAACAUAGAGAGAGUCUGGUAACAUCAAAAGGUUGGGAACGGAACCAUAUUUCAGUAAUCCAACCAGUUGAAAAUAUCUGUUGGUACUUAAAGAAUAUGAUGUCAGAUCAGUUGUCGUCUGAGAGAUUAUUACUGAUGAUAGGAUGACAUAAACUGUAUCUUGGAAAGUCUACACAUUCUAGUUAUCAGAUUCGCAUGGAAUUGUUGUGCAAUUUAAAUGUUUAAAUAUGAAACUAUUUGUGAAAAGAGUAAAUGUCAUUUUAGCUUCUAAAUGAGAUAAUGGUUUUCAUAAGUGAAUUAUGCUCACUCAGUGGCCCCGCCCAAGUGAACAGACAUUGGUUGUGAACUAUGAAACAACGCCAUUCUCUCCACCACUACAAAGCUCAUUGAUGAAAGUCAACCUUGGGUUCCCGAUGAUGUGAGGACUGCUGUCCAUAUGUUAAAAAAGGCCAAAUUUCAACGUGGAGGUGACGAUCGACAAGCUGGAAGGAUGAAUUUCGACUAUACCAGUCAGAAUAUAGAAUGAGCUUGUAGCAUAGCAAAUUGGUAUGAACUUUGAACUCUUAUUCACUAAAGAAGUGAUACAUCCUAGACGUCGAGUUAGCAGCUGUAAACGUGGGCUAGGAAAGGACAGACAAUCUCUUCAGAAAGACAGGAUACUACAACGUAUCCAUUCUACCACUCAAUGACGGUACUAGAACGUAACCGUUCUUCCACAAGACAUAUUCUUCAAAGGACAAGGGGGAUCUCUGCUGGGCAACCCAGACUUCCAUCUUCGACCAAUCUAUAUAAGCGCAGCUCAGAGUAAAUAUUUAUUGCAUUUUCCUUUUCCAAAUGGGCGGUUAUUUAGAAUGCAUAAGAUUCUGUAUUUACGAUAGCAUAGCUUCAUAAGGUUCGAUAGAAACCCAAUCCUUUUGUUCCUCAGUCUUCCCGCGCUUUCAUUCAAACCCAACCCCCUUUCUUUGUGUAACCAGCUGUCAUAUCGGUUCCGUCCGCUAAGGACGUUUUCUUGUAUGACAUAAUUAGUAAUCAAUGUAUGAUCCAUCAUGUGUAUAUGUAAUUAUGUGUGAUUAUAUACGUAUUUAGUAAAUAAAUAAUUAAACCAAA